UACAGAGGGUGCGAGCGUUGUUCGGAUUUAUUGGGCGUAAAGAGCGUGUAGGCGGCCAGACAGGUCAGCUGUGAAAACUCGAGGCUCAACCUCGAGACGUCGGUUGAAACCACUUGGCUAGAGUCCGGAAGAGGAGAGCGGAAUUCCCGGUGUAGCGGUGAAAUGCGCAGAUAUCGGGAAGAACACCCGUGGCGAAGGCGGCUCUCUGGGACGGUACUGACGCUGAGACGCGAAAGCGUGGGGAGCGAACAGG
rnacentral:rRNA from 1 species